CCUAACACAUUGAGAUUAUCGUCCGAUCACCAAAGUUAAGCAAUGUCGGGUCCGGUCAGUACUUGGGAGGGUGACCACUUGGGAACACCGGGUGCUGUAGGCU